rnacentral:rRNA from 1 species
CCUACGGGAGGCAGCAGUAGGGAAUUUUCCGCAAUGGGCGAAAGCCUGACGGAGCAAUACCGCGUGAGGGAUGACGGCCUGUGGGUUGUAAACCUCUUUUCUCAAGGAAGAAGUUCUGACGGUACUUGAGGAAUAAGCAUCGGCUAACUCUGUGCCAGCAGCCGCGGUAAUGCAGAGGAUGCAAGCGUUAUCCGGAAUCACUGGGCAUAAAGCGUCUGUAGGUUGUUUAGUAAGUCUGCUGUUAAAGACUGGGGCUUAACCCCAGAAAAGCAGUGGAAACUGCUAGACUCGAGUGUGGUAGAGGUAGAGGGAAUUCCUAGUGUAGCGGUGAAAUGCGUAGAUAUUAGGAAGAACACCAAUGGCGAAGGCACUCUACUGGGCCAUAACUGACACUGAGAGACGACAGCUAGGGGAGCAAACGGGAUUAGAUACCCCGGUAGUCCUAGCCGUAAACGAUGGAUACUAGAUGUUGCACGUAUUAACCCGUGCAGUAUCGUAGCUAAGGCGUUAAGUAUCCCGCCUGGGAAGUACGCUCGCAGAGUGAAACUCAAAGGAUUGACGGCUGAGACNGCGACGACGACGACGAGGGAGGAGG